rnacentral:misc_RNA from 1 species
GAUGAAGAACGCAGCGAAAUGCGAUAAGUAAUGUGAAUUGCAGAAUUCAGUGAAUCAUCGAAUCUUUGAACGCACAUUGCGCCCCCUGGUAUUCCGGGGGGCAUGCCUGUUCGAGCGUCAUUUCACCACUCAAGCCUCGCUUGGUAUUGGGCAACGCGGUCCGCCGCGUGCCUCAAAUCGACCGGCUGGGUCUUCUGUCCCCUAAGCGUUGUGGAAACUAUUCGCUAAAGGGUGUUCGGGAGUCUACGCCGUAAAACAACCCCAUUUCUAAGGUUGACCUCGGAUCAGGUAGGGAUACCCGCUGAACUUAAGCAUAUCAAUAAGCGGAGGA